rnacentral:lncRNA from 1 species
GGGGAGAAGAGAUCAAGGGAGGAACCAGUUAGCUUAAGCGCAGCUGUUAGGGUGAUGCACUCUUGGUUUCAAGACUCAGUGUUGCUCACUUCCAAGCUUGGUCCUUCACUCAUUUUCUCCGGAUCAAGCUUGAGGAGGGGUAAUGGUGAGCAAUCCUGAAGGUCCAAGUCAUCUGUUGCCUCAGUUACCUCUAAAGGCAUU